GCCAUGUCAUCAUCUUCUUCAAGGCUGGAGGCGAACGGACUAGUCGCACGACCUCUGCGUUUUUCAGUUUCUUUGCAAUUCCUCUCGACUUGAUUCCCGACGAUUUAAGACACCAUUUAACGAGCCGUUUGAUCCUACUUAAGCCCCACUCUCUCCUCCGUAAUAUCCCCCAAACAACACACACCGAGAGCCCCCAGGCUGCUCGAAUUCAAGCUCGAAAGUCCGCGGUACCGUCGCAGUUUAUCGUCGAAUUUGUUUGGUGCACUAGAGUGACGGCUUCAUCUUCGACUGUGGCACCGACCGCGGGAAGGAUUUUUCUUGGCCGAGCGAUUUCGGAAGAAGUACUGUACCUAGACGUCCGUUUCUCCUUCUACAACUCCAUCGACGCCGGAAGCCCGUCGUCAACGUCUUCGUCAACUCCUGUACUGCACCGACCCUUCCGACAUCGCCGUCGACCACCUGUGCCAUCAGCGAUUGUGGUUGCUCCGAUUGCAACGAGUGUUUUUGCGACGAGUGUACCAACUCAUCCCCGUGCUAAGGU